AAAUAUGUAAAAGCUGUAAGCAUUUUGAAUGUAUUGGUGGAUCAUAUUGUGGGCAACCGGAACUCAAUAUGGCAUAUAAAGAACUGAAACACGUAAAGAACACAAGCAUCUAACAUAUCUUGAUUUUGUUUAUUCAAAUACAGAAAAAUUCACUAUGGUUGUGAAAGUCAUUGUUGCAAAUGAUUACAAUGAAGAUAUUUAUGUAAUGGUCCAGGGAGAUAGAAAAUUCACGUCAAAUCUUGGUGUCCAAGGAGGGGUUGGAAUUCUUGGAAAUGGAAUCAAUUUCGGAUUGAACAAAGAAGUUAUCUGGGAGACAGCAAAAACAAUGGGGUACACCAAAAUCAAGUCUAAAUGUUAUACGCCAUUUUACCCUGUUGCUGAUAGCGACGCCGUGUAUGUGACUAUAUUUUGCGAAGGAAUGGAUAGAGAAUUAUGUCGUUUCCAUCCAAUGGAGAAAAAAUGCAACGUGAUAUUCAGUACAGAAGGUUAUCUUUGUUUCUCGCAUGAAAAAGACAUAUGGCAAUACGACGAUAACCAAAAACCUGGAGAAGAACAAAGCAAUGAUGCACUCAAAGAAGAAAAUGUGAAACUAAAAAUAGAAAUUGAAACGUAUCAAAAUAAAGAAAGAAACUCUAACGAUAAUGCUAGAGUAAAUAUGUUAAGUUCUAUGGAUGACAGCAAACGUCUGCCGCUGCCGCCAUCUGACAGAAAGAGACCCGCAGAAGACAACCUUCCAGAAAUCAAUCGAAAAAUUCAAAAAUGUGACGAGUAAAAGAAAUUUGUAACAAACUGUACUAUGUUGUAAUUUUUUUUGUCGUUGGGUGCUGUCUCAUUGACAAGUACCGCAUAUCUCCUGUUAUACGUAUUUAUUCUUAUUUAUUAAAAUAUUUUUGUAUUUUA